GCUUUUUUUUUAAAAUUUUUUUUUACCCUUUUAUAAAACUCACUUUUCCAAGUUUCUAAUCAACUUUUCACUAUACUCUCCCCAACUUUAGAUUCCAAAACCAAAUUUAUUCAAAAAUGCUCCCUACUUAGAAAUAAGUAAAAGGCAAAAUUUGCAAACAACUCGAUUUGGGGUUCCAAUUGGUACGAAAGAAAUUAGGAUUCAUUUAUUCCACGAUUUUCAAUGAUCAAUGAAAUGAAUCCUAAAAUAAGCUCAAAGGGGUUUAACUAAG
rnacentral:lncRNA from 1 species